UAUAUGUGUAUCAUUAGCAGUGUUUAAGUGUGGGAAGUGAAAGAGAGAAAAGAGAGGGAGAGAGUGAGAAAGAGGGAGCCCCUGUGGGGGACUCCCCCACCACCAGUGGAUGUGAGAAAUAGAGAUGUGAGAGUUGAGAUUGUACACUGCAUGAAUUUGUGUCGCUUCAGCUUUCCAACACUUUUGUGAUGCAAUAAAUUGCAACAAAGGUAAUGGUGAGAUAAAAAGAAUUAUGAAUCAGAAACCAAUAUAAACUAGAUAGAGCUCAUAUUUUCCUUGCAUCAUUGGUAGAGCGCAAGAGGAACAUGUUGUCAUGGUCUAAAGGCAAUGGACUUUUCGAUUUCUGAAAAGUAAAAGAUGAAA